UGUUUUUCAUCACUUUUUUUUUUUUUAGAAUUAGAUGAAAGUAAUCAUUAUUGAUUUUUGUAUCGCGAAUUAAAAUAAAGAUGUGAAAAAAUGAUGGUUCUUUCAGUCAGCAAAGUAAAUAAAACAAUUCCUGUUACAGAGGUUUAACACAUUUAUUACCAACAGAUAUUAGAUAUGUCUCUUGUAUGGAUAUUGUUUCGAACGUUGAUGGAAUAAUCGUACGUGUAAUACAUAUUAAACUUAAAGUAGAAACUUAAAAAGAAAAGUAUUAUUAUCGUAAUAUUAAAGAGAGAAGAGAAAGAAAGAAAGAAAGAAAGAUUUAUCACGUGCAUUGUACAGUUUAAGAAUAAAAGAGAGAGAAAGGAAUACAAUAGCGAUCGAGUACAAUUGAAGUAGUAGCUUUACUCUUCGCUCACAUCCCUUACAAUGAGAAAAAUGACACGUCUUUUUAUCGUUUCGUUUUACAUCGAAGCUACAGUUUGCAAAGUUAAUAUGUACUCUUUGGUAUGAUUACACAGAGUCGGAGGUUGUGUUCUCCCUAUUUAUAUAACCGUGACGAACGGAAGCCCAAUAGAAAAUAUCUAUGAACGCGUUGACCAAUGUAAUUCGUACAUAGAAAAAUAAAGAUCGUGUCGAUGCGUCGAAAGGAACACUUGCGCUUAGAAAAAUAAAAGCUUGUCAUUCGAUUAGUGGCUGCCAGUAAACUAAAUCCUCCUCUAAGUUUCUCCGAUUCGCUCGAAAUUUCCAGAUUAUUUCCAUUUUUCACCUUUCGAACAAUUUCCAUCUAAUUUUUUUUUGUUAAUUAAUUACACCAUAUUGAACCAAACAGAAAAUACAAUCUUUUAAAAGUUUCAAAAUUAUUUUCGAUAGAUAUAAUAAUAAUAAUAUGUUACAUAAAAUCUAUGUUACACAAAAUAUUCGAGUAUUAUUGAAAAAUUGAUCGAUAGAUGCGAAAAUUGAAUUGGAUUUUUUCUUUUUUUUUUUUUACCAUUGAAAGAACCAACGGACACAACUUUUGUAUUCGUGUAACAGCAAUUUUUAGUAUGUCAUGUCUUAUAAUAGCAUCGAUGAUGCGUUCCACUGAUAAUUGUUCCGAAUAUAAUUCCUGUUCCAAUAUUACCGUUUUCGGUCAAUAUCGAUAUCGAAACGAUUGCCGUUGUAGGUGUGUGUUAUUAUUAUCGGAAAAUUCGAACAGAUAGGAUUAAUCGGAAAUUCGAGCGAAACGAGAAGCGACCGAUGAUAUUUAGUUGGGUCAGUGACAGCGUUCCAUCGGGUGAAGCCAACAAUUUCUACGUUUAAAUGUGUCAUUGAAAAAAGAAGAAAACACGUUUAAAAUGUCAUUGAUUAAACUUUUUAGAAUAAUUUAGUAAAAAAUACGAUAUUAAGAUUCAACAAUCUUAAUAAAUAAAUUAAAAUAAAAUUAAAAUAGAGACAAAAGAACAAGGAGCCAAGCUUCGUUUUCAAUUGUGAGACGAACUUGUGCAAACAAUGCAAUACCACGGAAUAUUGCGUUAUUUCUCUAUUUCCAUUUUUCCAGUAGUUAGACUUUAUCCAACAACUUUGUUGUGUACAAACGUCGUAUUUCAAUUCGCAAUCGUGCGCAAUCAUUAAUCGAGACUUUAGCGUGGCAUCGAUUAAUCACGCAUGCACCGAUUCCACAGAGAGAGUUUUUGCACUGGCCACGGUUGAAAAUUUAUUCGGACAGCUGUCACUGACACACGAAAAACCAUUCAGGUUUUCCUCUCGACGGUCAAAAAAUCUAUUAUUUCUACAAAUUAUUUCACCGGGAAUCUAUUCGAUCAGCUCGAUUAUCGGACGAUGGCAACGGUGAUAAUGAUAUAAUGACGAUGACGGUGAUAAUAAUAAUAAUUAAUGAAUCGCCCUUAGGGACGUUGAUCAAAGGGUGGAUUGUGUACACGUAAGCAACAUGUAACACACACGCCGCACACGAAAUGACACGCGAUGAUCGUGGUCACUUAGAAAAACAGCGAUCGCACACUCGACACAUCGUUUCCACUCGCGAGAAAUACUUAUUCGUCGCCAAAUAUAUUUACAGUUCUCGUUAAUAAUUAUUGCUAUGGUACAUUUAUACAGUCUAGACGCGUACAAUAGGCCGUACGAAUAAAAAGUGAAGCGUUCGCGAUUUUUCUUUUUCCUUCCUCUCCUUUACCAUUUUCUCUCGUUCCUCUUGUUCUAAAAAAAAACUCGACUCGCUAUUCUCCACGAAAGAAAAUGGUGGGCGUGACGCUUGAUGCGGAACCAAGCGAAAAACUUGAUCCCGCAUAUCGUGUCUAAAUUGCUCCACGGAUGAUCGUUUUUAGGUUGCGGUUCAACUUUUCGUUACAUAGUUUUGCCGUUGUUGGUAACAAAUCGUUGAUACUUUUUUUUUUCUUUUUUGAUUUAUUUUUAUUAUAUUUUUUUUGAAAAAUAAUCGUGAAAUGAAAUAAGUUUCUUUAUAUCGAAUCUUAAAGGGCGUAAACAAAUCGAGCGAUCAAGAGAGAGAGUUUGAGUUUAAAUUAAGUGAGUGAGAAACAGUGUGAUUUUAUAAAUUGUUAAAUAUAAACAAAUUCAAUUGUGAAGUUUUAUAUCAAAAUUAUGCAAAAUUCACCUUUGAAAACUUGGAUUCUAAAUAUCAAAAUGGCGAAAAUAGUUUAUACGUGUUAAGUUUAGUUAACGAAUUGUAUUCGGUAUUUACCUCACUUUAUCUAACUCAAACGUAAAACAUAAUUCGUUAAUGUACAUAUGUUGCAUGAAUCUUAUCGAUAUCCACUUUGCAAAAAUGUUUCAUAUUUUUAUAAACAUUCUAUAUAUAUAUAUAGAUAUAUUGGAAUGAUAUUAAAAUAUAGAUUUUUAACGAAAGAAAAAUAAUUGUAAAAUUGAUAUACGGACUUAUUGUUUUACAAUAUUCGUUUAUAAUAAAAUAAAGAUCAAUGAAUUUUGUUUGUACAAUUUGUCCACCAACAUCGGCUUGGUUGGAUGGAUCUAAUUUCAAACUGUUUCGAAAUCAUCGGAAGGUGAGCAGCGUGAUCGUCUAUCUUUUUUUUCCUUUUUUUUUCUUCCUCUCUUUAUUUUAACACAACGCUUCCUUUUUUCGCAACAAUCUCAUUUUUAAUAAGUAUCGCAUUACAGGUAAUACAGCUUUUGUUCUUGUCUAAUUACAUCUAGAUAGCACUGUUUGCUUUUAACCUACGUUUACGACUGACAAUUUAUUUACAAAGUGAACGCGUAUUUAAGAAUCCUGCACAUUCCGAUUUGCCCUCUAUAUCCGAUUAAUUCGAGAUCGGCGAAACACAAUUUAACAUUUGAAAUUAUUUUUAACAAUUCAUACAAAAUAUCUCGUGAGUAUAGAAUUAAAAGUUGAUGCAUCACUUUCAAAAAUCACAUCAUUUUUGGAAGACAAUUUCAUUUGAUACACAAAUCUGUGAAAUGUUUGUAUUUCGAGAAAGAAAGGAGAAAGAAAAAACUUGAAUAUGUCACAAGCAAUACGAGAAUUUAAUUUUUAAACAUUCCCUUUGAAAUCGCAUCAAAGAACGUAAAAAUAUGUUAAAUUUCUUCUUUAAAAUAAUUACGAACAGAAUAAAAAAAAAACAGGGGUUUCAAAGUGAGAUAAUUCUUGAAAUCUGCUGUAGUAGAUUAUAAAGAGAAGCGGUGAACUAUAAUUGACAAAUGAAGAGCGUGCAAGAUCCCAAUUUAACUGGCCCAUCCCAUAAAGGUUUAGGGGGCGAUGCCUUUCCGGCACGUGAUCAAUCGUCAAAAUUUGCAAUUUCGUUGCGUGCCGGCAAAAGACAUGUAGAAGAAUACUUGUCAUUCUCCCCUCGUUUCCGCUUACUGUUGAUGACCGCGUCGUUCGCCUAACCAGCGAAUUCGUUUACGAGCUUCCGGUUGCGCGUCGAAUCCUUCGAAUCCCCUUUAAUACGUGCCAUUGAACCCAAGAGGCGAGAGAUUCCGUUUCCUAAAGUCGUAAAACAUUUCGACACGGAAAUGGAGAGGAAUUUCAAUUCGAGCGAGGACGGUACAUAUGUUUUGCAACCAUUAAUAGAUAACGAUAGAUUCUAAGAAAAUUGAAAAAUUUUAAUUAUUUUCGAAUUCAUUAUUCGAAUGAUGGUGGUGGCACUUUGAAAUUUAAUAUCGUUAUUUUUUUAACCCUUUGUAUUUUAUUAAACAAAAUUUUGUUUAAGAAAGGAGAUAUCAAAAGCGCGAUAGCAAAAAGUAUUUUUUAUUCUCCGUCCGAAUAAAUAAUUUAUAUUGAGAAUGAAACGGUGCCUUGGUCGAUUCUGUAACGCGUUAAAUCGCUGUCAAACGGUAUUCGAACGUUUCGCUGUAAUUUCGCUUCGUGGAUUCAAUAAUCCGCAAAAUUCCCGCGUAUCUAUUAAAUGGAGAAUUUCGUGAAUUCGAGGAAAGCGAGCGUAACGAGGAAGCUGAUUGCGAUCCACAGGCGAAAAGUAUCUAGAAUAAGCUCGAUUCGAGUCGAGAAAUGCACGAAUAUCAGUCUGAAAUACAACACGUUGCACUCGUUGUUGGCGCGUUGAACGUUUGACAAUGUUCAAACGGCCCCGGAUUUCCUGAUUAAUUAACGCGGCAUUGAUAGAUCGUCCAACCGAGACGGCAGCUCGAUCUUGAUCAAUUUUAUCGACGAGAACAGCCAGUGUUGGCGAAUAUAAAGCUCAAUACGGAUCAAUUGAUUUUGUUGCACUCGAGUUGUUGGAUAGUUAUCACAAAGUUUGCGAAUAUUUCUCGAACACAUCAAAGACUAGUGACGAUUUUCAAUCGCUUUAUUUUCAAA